rnacentral:rRNA from 1 species
AGUGAACGCUGGCGGUAGGCCUAACACAUGCAAGUCGAACGGCAGCACAGUAAGAGCUUGCUCUUACGGGUGGCGAGUUGCGGACGGGUGAGGAAUACAUCGGAAUCUACUUUUUCGUGGGGGAUAACGUAGGGAAACUUACGCUAAUACCGCAUACGGCCUACGGGUGAAAGCAGGGGAUCUUCGGACCUUGCGCGAUUGAAUGAGCCGAUGUCGGAUUAGCUAGUUGGCGGGGUAAAGGCCCACCAAGGCGACGAUCCGUAGCUGGUCUGAGAGGAUGAUCAGCCACACUGGAACUGAGACACGGUCCAGACUCCUACGGGAGGCAGCAGUGGGGAAUAUUGGACAAUGGGCGCAAGCCUGAUCCAGCCAUACCGCGUGGGUGAAGAAGGCCUUCGGGUUGUAAAGCCCUUUUGUUGGGAAAGAAAAGCAGCAGGUUAAUACCCCGCUGUUCUGACGGUACCCAAAGAAUAAGCACCGGCUAACUUCGUG